AUGGCGUCAUUAGUUUUUUGUCAAGUACGCUCGCUGUCUUUACACAGGCCUCCUGAAGUGAAAUUUAGGGGGGUGAACAUUCUCAAAACUUGUGUGUUAUAUUCUUUGUCAUAAAGUCGGAAUAUCACUGUAUUUACGGCUCCAUUUUGAAUGAAUUGUCUUCAUAGUUCCACUUUACCUGUUGUAGCAAGGGGGGAUUUAAUUAACGACGCACAAAAGACACAUGAGUAACGUAGCUGCACAUUCUCGGUAAAAGCUGAAUAAAUGUGCAGAUCCUGAUUCCUGGUGUGAUGGGGAUUCUUCAGCCUAUGUGCAACCAUCAUACAGCUGCUCUACCAGGUAGUCGGAAGGAGAGAAAAUGGCUGAAAUGUGGAAGGAAGUGAUGAAGCCGCCCGGCUUCAAUGGACAUAAUUUGGAAAACAUAAUUUGGAAUACUUUCAAGAAAACCCUCUUGAUUUUUUUGAUCCAUGGACCUUUGUGGACUAAAGGAAUAUAAAUAAUCGGACUCCAUGACCUCUUCAAAGAGUGGAAACACCUGUACAACAAGUGACGUGUGCGAGGCAGCAGAGCCUGAUGCAGCAGGCCUUGGUUCAUAAGGAGGGUGACGGUGAUGCUGUGAGCUGCAGCACUGACACCUCCAGGUGGUCAACUCCCUCCAAACUAUACUGUGGCUCUAAUAGUCUACAAUACUUGUCUGACUGUGAAGACCAAGCUGACUCCCUCAGACAAGAUUCCAGAGGCCAAGACAACAGACAAGUGGCAAGGAUCAAAACCACCUGGGAGAAAGAGAGGUA